rnacentral:rRNA from 1 species
AAUCAACGCUGGCGGCAUGCCUAACACAUGCAAGUCGAACGGGAAAGUGGGAGCAAUCCCAUGAGUAUAGUGGCGCACGGGUGAGUAACACGUGACUAACCUACCCUCGAGUGGGGAAUAACCCCGGGAAACCGGGGCUAACACCGCAUAAUACCGCAAGGUCAAAUGCGCAAGCAGCUUGAGGAGGGGGUCGCGGUUGAUUAGCUAGUUGGUAGGGUAAUGGCCUACCAAGGCAGNGAUCAAUAGCCGGCCUGAGAGGGCGCACGGCCACACUGGAACUGAAACACGGUCCAGACUCCUACGGGAGGCAGCAGUGGGGAAUUUUGCGCAAUGGGGGAAACCCUGACGCAGCAAUGCCGCGUGGAGGAUGAAGUCCUUUGGGAUGUAAACUCC